rfam:Larimichthys crocea isolate SSNF unplaced genomic scaffold scaffold1065, whole genome shotgun sequence.
AUUAUUACCCUAACAGAAACAUUGACUUUGGUUCUCAAUGCAGUAAGUGCUUUUUGUUGGGGUAGUUUUG